AUAAACAUGUUUCCCAGGGGAAAACAAUAAUUGGCUCAGAGAUGUGAUAAGGAUGGCCCCUGAAGCUAACUCUACAGCAUUGAACUCCUUGAACUGUUUCACUCAAGGAAAUUGACCACCUUGUUUGCGGAGACCCUGCUUUGAAUUCUUUCCUGGAGCCCCUCUGAGAAGAGGGAGGAAGUGCACCAGGAGCUCCGCCCUCUCUGAGCGCCCUGCGGUUCCCCUCUGAGGGUCUCAGAAAACAUCAUAGAACUUCCACGCCAUCACCCCCAGCCCAGUCUCUUUGGAUGAAAAGGUAUUUUUGAGAAACCGCAGCUUCACCUGGUGGACGCCAUUCUUUAGCUGUGCCAGUCAAUCAAGGCCCUGCUCUCUUUUCCCUUUUACUGUUGACUCCAUGGCUCACUGAAUUGGGACACGGCUUUACCCUCUGGGCAUCCAGGUAAGGAAGGUCUGGGACGCCAAGUGCAAAUGAGGCACUAUUGCAAGUGAUUUAAAAACCAAGGCAGAGAAAGCGAACCAACGGUUUUUGC